rnacentral:rRNA from 1 species
AUGCCAAGCUCUAGGCCAUCACAUUCUAAUAAUACUUCCAAGAACUAUUCGGAAUCUCAAGAAAGUGAGGGAAGUUACAGAUUCCAUAUGAGGUCCCAGGGAGCAAGAGAUAUUAACCAAACCACCUGGCUAAGCGGUGGUGCAUCACAAGUUGACUAUGGCGUUCUUGGAAAUGGGAACCACACAACUAAUCUUGGUGCAGGUGCUGCUUAUGGUCAUGGUUAUCAUCAUGGUAAUGGCAUCGACAUAAAUGGUUAUCAUCAUCAUUAUGGUACUCUCAGUGCUAAUGAUUAUGGUCAUCAUUAUGGUAAUGGCAAUAAUAAAUCUUAUGGUUAUCCUCACGGUAAUUCUAAUGACAAUAAUUAUGGUAAUGGUAAUGGUGGUCGCAAUGGAGUUAUAACAAGUGGAAGCAUGGUAAGUGCACCAGCAGUACAAUAUGGAAUGCGUGGAGAUGCUUCUGCUGGUCAGACCGGUGCAGUGCAGCCUCAAAACCUUGACAGUGUUUUUCUCAACUGGGGCAACACUAGUUCUGAAACAGCCGGCACAUCAGGUGGAGAUGGUGUAGUGACAGACGUGAUGAUUCGUGGGCUAACUAUGGAGGAAUUAGAAAACCUUACAAAGCACUAG